rnacentral:sRNA from 1 species
UAUAAAUGUGAUUACAUUUUUUAUUUUAAAAAAGCUUAUAUUUGUAGAAUUAAAAUAAACUUGCAAAACACUGGUGAAUGACACCUGUAAAUUAUUGACUGGUCACAUGAUAUGAGCUUUGUUCUUUAGUCAGUAUGGUGCCAAGUUUGAUUCCUCCUUGCCGUUCUGUAGGAAGAUAGGGUUAGGAUUUAGCAAUCUUAUUCGGUUGAAUCAUAGAAAACUUUUGCAGACUAUGAUAUUUUUAAGACAGGUCUUCUCACUGAGUACUAUUCCCUUCAUUGCCUUUUUUUUUUUAUUAAUUAUGUUCCAAAUGUUGAUCUGUUUCUAUUUCCCACAGACAAAACCUUUCAUGAGGGGGGAGAACUUUGAGUUUUUACACAGUCUUUCUGUUCAGAUAUGAUGGAGUGCAGACAGAACAGGCUCAUCCAGAUCAACAUGGGGAGUUAUAACACUUGCCCUCAGGAUAGAUCUCAGAUAUUGGAUGUCAGUUGCUAACUUGACCGGAUGAACACUUUGAAUAGCUGAAGUCAGGAUAGGAUGAACUUUCAGUGUGUGAGAUAUUGAUAGUUUUGGUAGACUUUGACUGAUUGAUGUUUAGUUGUUGUGAAAGAUUAAUAGCAGUGCCAGAAGACCAUUAAAUCUGAUGUAAACCCACAUUCAAAACCAAGACCAUUGACUUAGGCACUGAGUGCUGCUAGUUCAUCUUCAACAUUUCAUUGAUUCUUUUGAAAGAGAGACUGAAGUGAGACAGAAUUUGUUCAAUGAACAAUUUUAUUUAUAUGUUCAAAUCUGUAGACAGACCAUACCCAUGGAUAUUUAUUAUGUGAUCAAUAUUUAAAUUGUAUAUUUGUUUGAAGGUAUAUUUUUACAUUAGAUGUUUCUUAUUGCCUGAGAUUUCCACACUAUAGGAAUAUAGUAUUCAAGUCAUAUGCCAGUUUGGAAUGGAGAUAGUAACGAACUUAAGCAUCUGAAAGGUAUUAUAUUUGAAUGAAUAUGUGAGCUUUAAAAUCUUGAGUUGGUCAAAUGAAAUGUUCUAUCUCAAGUAUUUAUUAUAUAGUUUAUACUAUGAUACACCAAGACUGCUAUAAAAUAUGUCUAUAUGUUAGUCAUAAUUUCACUCUAGGAAUAAUCAUCUAAGCCUUUCAUCUUACUGACAUUACCCUUGGUUGUGUUUGGUGGUAUCAAUAGCCAUUGUUUAUUAGUUAGGCCUAUAUGUAGUAUAAUUGAAAAGAAAGUCUCUGCAGUCACCUCCACUAGGUGAACUAGAGAUUCAAGUUGAGUGAUUUUAUUUGAGUGUACAUUUGUUUUCUUAAAGCGGGCCUUUUUUUGUGUGUGUGAUUUAGAAGAUAAGACUGGCAUUAUUGAAAGCAUUUACUAUUGUUGGAUAAAAUUUAAGUCAUUUGUUUAUUCUGUAUUGUGGUUCAGUUAUCAGCUCGUCUAAAUGUUGUCUGUCUAUCUUAUCAAUUAUGAAUGAAUCUGGUAUUAGUUGUUUUUUGAUUGUCAAAGAAAGUCAGUGCUAUAACACUCUUUGUUGACUGUCAAAGAAAGUCAGUGCUAUGACACUGUUGACUGUCAAAGAAAGUCAGUGCUAUGACACUGUUUGUUGACUGGGAGAAACAUUUCUAUCUAUGAUCUGUGACCAAUUUCCAUUCAUUCAUGUUGUAAUGUGUGUGACCAAUGCUAACUAUUUAUUUUGUAAAUAAUGAAACAGUGUAAGACUGAGGAGAUGUGUUCCAAGUAAAAUGUCAAUUAUAUUUAAUUCUAAAAUGUUUUUAUUCAUGUCAACAUUUUUAUGUGUAUUUCUGGAUAACAUAAAUGAAUCAAAAUCAUUUUGAAAGUGGAAUUACAGUAUAGUACAGUUUAACUAAUAGUACAGGUAAAAUUGAAGCUAAUUGAUAUGUAAACAAAAGUAGAUAGUUCUGUUUUUUUUAUAUUGUUUUAUUGACAUUUUUUUUAAGAUCACACAUUUCUAAAUGAUGAAAUCUUGAUUAGAGAAAAGACUUGUGUAGUAAACAUUUGAUUCCCAGCAUUCCUUGUUGUAUGUUGACGUAGUGAUGUAUCAUUUCAUGCCAUUUGUAGACUCUGUUUAUUAUUAUUAUUAUUAUUUAUUUUUUUUAUUUGCUUUUUUUCCCUCACCAUUUGUUCAGGCAUGAAUUUUGAUCAUCUGCCUGUUGCUUUAGACUCUAUAUGGUUCACUGUUUUGUGGCUUCUCUGCCUAUUGACUUCAUUCUGUUGUUGAUAUUGAAGGACAUUUGUUACAUUGAUCAAUUGUACAUUGCUCAUUAAAUAACUUUGAAUAAUUAA